GACGAACGCUGGCGGCGUGCUUAACACAUGCAAGUCGAACGGAAAGGCCCUGCUUUUGUGGGGUGCUCGAGUGGCGAACGGGUGAGUAACACGUGAGUAACCUGCCCUUGACUUUGGGAUAACUUCAGGAAACUGGGGCUAAUACCGGAUAGGAGCUCCUGCUGCAUGGUGGGGGUUGGAAAGUUUCGGCGGUUGGGGAUGGACUCGCGGCUUAUCAGCUUGUUGGUGGGGUAGUGGCUUACCAAGGCUUUGACGGGUAGCCGGCCUGAGAGGGUGACCGGCCACAUUGGGACUGAGAGACGGCCCAGACUCCUACGGGCGGCAGCAGUGGGGAAUAUUGCACAAUGGGCGGAAGCCUGAUGCAGCAACGCCGCGUGCGGGAUGACGGCCUUCGGGUUGUAAACCGCUUUCGAAUGUGACGAAGCGUGAGUGACGGUAAUGGGUAAAGAAGCACCGGCUAACUACGUG
rnacentral:rRNA from 1 species